rnacentral:rRNA from 1 species
GACGAACCAUCCAAACGUUAUUCGGAAUCACUGGGCUUAAAGGGUGCGUAGGCGGUGCGGUAAGUUGGAUGUGAAAUCCCUCAGCUUAACUGAGGAACUGCGUUCAAAACUACCGUGCUAGAGGGAGAUAGAGGUGAGCGGAACUUAGGGUGGAGCGGUGAAAUGCGUUGAUAUCCUAAGGAACACCGGUGGCGAAAGCGGCUCACUGGAUCUUUUCUGACGCUGAGGCACGAAAGCUAGGGGAGCAAACGGG